UCCGGUUUGGCACCGGCGGUCUCCGAUGAGUCCCCGGCAUCACCCGCUGGCAACAUCGGACAGGGGUUGCGCUCGUUGCGCCACUUAAGGCAACACCUCACGGCACGAGCUGACGACAGCCAUGCACCACCUGUACCGGACCCAAAAAGGACCCCACAUCUCUGCAGGAUUUCCCGGCAUGUCAAACCCAGGUAAGGUUCUUCGCGUUGCAUCGAAUUAAGCCACAUGCUCCACCGCUUGUGCGGGCCCCCGUCAAUUCCUUUGAGUUUCAUUCUUGCGAACGUACUCCCCAGGUGGUGUGCUUACUGCGUUAACUGCGUCACGGACCCGCAAGGGCCCACGACUAGCAUACAUCGUUUACGGCGUGGACUAC
rnacentral:misc_RNA from 1 species